GACAGAGGUGGCAAGCGUUGUUCGGAGUUACUGGGCGUAAAGAGUCUGUAGGUGGUCUGUCAAGUCUUUGGUGAAAGGCCGUGGCUUAACCAUGGGAAUGCCAAAGAGACUGGCAGACUGGAGGCUGGGAGAGGGAAGCGGAAUUUCUGGUGUAGCGGUGAAAUGCGUAGAUAUCAGAAGGAAGGCCGGUGGCGAAGGCGGCUUCCUGGAACAGACCUGACACUGAGAGACGAAAGCGUGGGGAGCAAACAGG
rnacentral:rRNA from 2 species